CCUACGGGAGGCAGCAGUGAGGAAUAUUGGUCAAUGGGCGUAAGCCUGAACCAGCCAAGUCGCGUGAGGGAUGAAGGUUCUAUGGAUCGUAAACCUCUUUUAUAAGGGAAUAAAGUGCGGGACGUGUCCCGUUUUGUAUGUACCUUAUGAAUAAGGAUCGGCUAACUCCGUGCCAGCAGCCGCGGUAAUACGGAGGAUCCGAGCGUUAUCCGGAUUUAUUGGGUUUAAAGGGUGCGUAGGCGGCCUUUUAAGUCAGCGGUGAAAGUGUGUGGCUCAACCAUAGAAUUGCCGUUGAAACUGGGAGGCUUGAGUAUGUUUGAGGCAGGCGGAAUGCGUGGUGUAGCGGUGAAAUGCUUAGAUAUCACGCAGAACCCCGAUGGCGAAGGCAGCCUACCAAGCCAUGACUGACGCUGAUGCACGAAAGCGUGGGGAUCAAACAGGAUUAGAUACCCUUGUAGUC
rnacentral:rRNA from 1 species